GUGCAGUGAGGGCGUGUCUCUAAGGGGCUGUCCUGAUCGGGUGAAACCAAGUGAACAGUCUUGGUCAGCUAUCUCUCUACUCACUGAAAUACACACCAGCCUUGAUCAUGAGAAAAAAACACUUACAGCCCUGGCAAAGAGGCUGGACAGGGAGACCCUGCAGCUGAUGGGACUGUACGCCAGCCUGGCCACCAUCAGAGCUCAGAGGGAGACAGUGUCCCAUAGUGCACUGCUAGCAGCCCGACAGGACUGGGGGAAAUGGUGAGGCCUUCAUGACAAGCAGAAAGAAAAUAAGUAUCUGUCUGUGGCACUGAUUUCAUGUCUUUUUAGGCCCAGUAUGAAGGGAUCCCACAGUAUAAGUCAGGCCCAGCUCUGGCUGCAGAAAGAUGUGGAGGAGGAAGAAGUCAAGGACGAGCCCCCUAUCUCUCCACAACAGGUUGUCUUGUAUCUGUCAGUUACUCUGUUGCAGUCUCCCCUGCCUCUCCCCACUGGAGUUUGAAGCCUUCUCUGGCUCCUCCCCAGGUGGUGCUGAGGUGUCUGGUACUGAGUCAGGAGUGGGAAAGAAAGUGCCUGCUGAGGAUGCUCCACAGGGUCUCCCCAGAUGAAUUGCAAGGGCCAGGAGAGAAGAAGUCACCUACAGAGGGUGUGUUACCAGAGCAGGGCCAGCGGAGAGAGGCAUCUCUGAGAGAGGGGUUUAUAAAGAGGCUAAGACACACACACACCAUCCUCCAGCUCCAGUCCUGUCAUCAGCCCCCGCCAGUUCAGGGCUCUACCCCGCCCCAGUCCCAAUGGGGAAACUGUGCUUUGGUCCUGUUGGUUGAGCUGAUGGAUCUCCAUGAGGCCCAGGUCGCUGCAGUGCUGUCCGCUCUGCAGGAAAGGGUCUGUCACAAUACAUUCUGGUUACACUGGUAGUUCCAUUUGAAUGGUUGUGGUUUAGGUUAAGGGUUGGAUUUUCAAAGGGAAUAUUGUCUUUGGUCCCCACAUUGUUGGUAAAAUGAUGAAUGUGUGUGUGCAGAGUGAGCAGCGCCUGUUGGCUCUGAGAACGGAAUAUGAAUCUGAACUCCGAGAGCCUCAUCUGCCCUGCUUGGUCACACUCCUCACCCGUGACCCAUGCCUGAACUCUGACCACUGCCUGGGGCCCUCUAAACUAAUUCCAGUCCAGAAGAGGUACUCAGCUGUCCUACCCCCAGACCUGAGCAGUGGUAAACCAGACGAUCAACACACUAAGGACCUUUGUACAGACUGUGGGACCACCAUGAUCCCAGAAGACCUGCCCUACCUGGAGAUCCUGUGUGUUUCACACAGCCUUGACUCGCCCAACAAAAACAAUGACUUCAACACACACACUGCAUCUGAAGAACUCUCUGCAGAGCAAGAGGUGUGUAAUAUGCCAGGGGCGAGGGAAAGCAGCCCCAGAAAGACUCCUCAGAGCUAUGAGAAGCAGGAUUCUCUCAUCGCUCUGGCCUGGAGCAAGCCACCCGAGGGAGACACGGAGCAGAACACAGGAACCGUGGACAUGUCUCCGGCAGAACAAGAAGUCGGUGUACGAGAAAAGAUUGGGCACUGUGGCACGGACAGCAGCCCCAUAUGCACACAGUACGACACACCCGGACGCAUCCAUUGCAACGGCACAGCUGGAAACAGACAGUGUGAGGACACAGCCACAAACCAGGUGGAAGUGUUGGACCGGUCUCUGUUCCAGUCCGACACUGUGGUUCAGCAGCUCUCCCUGCCUACAGACCAGCACCUGACCACAGGCCAGGAGCCAGAGCUAGGGCCCUCAGAGGAGACAAAAAGUGCUCCAGCUGAUGACACCUCUGUCACUGAGGUGAUUCCAACGUGGGACAGGUGCCGUCGGGGGUCAGGAGCGGACCGGGGGUCAGGAGCGGACCGGGGGCCUGAGGGACACAGUGAAGGCAGCACUGCGGUGGGAGCCAAUGGGAGUGCUCACCCGGGCUCUGUGGGCGGAGAGACGGAGCACUGGGCCCUGAGUGGACUUGUCCCCCCUACAUCAGACCAGGAGACCCACAGCACCCCACACACUACUCUGGAGGGAGACGAAGCAAUUGGGAGUGUAAUGGAGAGAGAGAGGACAUCGGAGUCUAUCUCUGUGAUGGAGAGAGAGAGGACAAUUCGCUGCCUGGUUGAUCUGCAGAAGAAGAUGGAACAGAAACAGAACAGAGACAGAGAGAGACAACUGCUGAGGGUGAGACAGCGAGGGUGAUCAGAAGACAGAAUGGGUGGGGGAAAGGAUGGAACAAACAUUG
ensembl:lncRNA